UAAACAUACGCGCGCGUGCGCACACACACACACACACACACACACACCACUCGACACCUUGUAACGCCGUCGCUCCUUGUCCUGUGGAACUCGGGUAAUCUGAGCAGUGGAACACUCAGCUGAGAUCUUUGCGACUCUUGACAGCUUGAAGACGUGACGCACGUUUUUAAACUAAACUGUUUCCCCUGGAGAAAUGGGCGUGAAGGUACUCCUGUGCUUCCCAUUCUACAGACGCUGCAAACAGCGAUGCAAAGACCAAGAAUGCCCUCCCGAAGCAGAACCUGCAGUACCGAAAGCUGAGCCAAAGCCACGUCUCUGCUCAACAGCAUCGACAGUCAGUGAGGGUGACAGUGGAAGCAACCUGGGUAGUCCUCAAGCAUAUUUCUCCCAGAAGGCUCGGCUCUCAUUUAGACACCAAAUGGAUAGCAACUUCAAUGCAAUAGACACCACAUAUUAACUCCUGACAAGUUGCCAUGGUUGUAAAAAUGAACUCUGACCCAUGUCGAGGGACAACUGGGUGUAAUAAUCAUGGAUGGCAGACACAGGACUUUCAAAAUUGUGUCUUUAUAUCACUCAGGAUGUCCCGAAUUCUGUUCAAUAAUGUCACCUUAUGCCCUUAUGAAUAAAAUGAUUACAUUGAAGAAGAAAGAGGAGAAAACAGAGCGCAUUUAGGUAAAAAUGUUUACAAGUCUACAGAAAGUGUUGUCUAUGUCCUGUUUAUGUGCAGUGAUUUUAUGGUAUGGCUCCUUUCAAACUGUGAUACUUGGAGGGCCACAUUAUUUGCUUAUGUCUGGUAAUUCUGUGCAAAUGGAUAUUUAAUAAGAUACUUAUUCACAUAUUUUUUAACAUUAAUGUUCUUAACUUCUUGCUAUAUUUGUUUUUGCAAUUUCUUUCCUUUUUAAGAGUAAUGUUUUUAUUUUAUCUCUAUUCCCAAAGGACAAGUGAUUAGUCACGUUAGUCAGAUAGGUUUAUGUGCAGACUCAAACAAAAACAACCUUGUGUUUUACAAGUUAAAUCUGAUAAAAAAAAAAAAAAAAAAAAAAAAAAACAGAUAAAAGUUUGUCUAAUAGAAGAGUCAUUGUUAAUGACUGUUAGGGCACCUACCCAGGACAUGUGGUCUAUCACUAUAAAAACUUUGUAUGUCUUUUGUAUUAAAUUGUUACAGUGUUUUUUCAUGUAUUACCAUAUAUUCCAUUAAAAUGUAAGUUAUUCUGUAA